CCUACGGGAGGCAGCAGUUAGGAAUAUUGGACAAUGGGCGAAAGCCUGAUCCAGCCAUGCCGCGUGUGUGAUGAAGGCCCUAGGGUUGUAAAGCACUUUCGUUGGGGAUGAUAAUGACCGUACCCAAAGAAGAAGCACCGGCUAACUUCGUGCCAGCAGCCGCGGUAAUACGAAGGGUGCAAGCGUUGUUCGGAAUCACUGGGCGUAAAGAAUGCGUAGGCGGCUUAACAAGUCGGGAGUGAAAUCCCAGGGCUCAACCCUGGAACUGCUCUCGAGACUGUUUUGCUAGAGUCCCGGAGGGGUUAGCGGAAUUCCGAGUGUAGAGGUGAAAUUCGCAGAUAUUCGGAGGAACACCAGUGGCGAAGGCGGCUAACUGGACGGGAACUGACGCUGAGGCAUGAAAGUGUGGGGAUCAAACAGGAUUAGAUACCCUGGUAGUCCACACCGUAAACGAUGUGUGCUAGUUGUCGGGCAGCUUUGCUGUUCGGUGACGGAGCUAACGUUUUAAGCACACCGCCUGGGAAGUACGGCCGCAGGUUAAACUUAAAUGAAUUGACGG
rnacentral:rRNA from 1 species